rnacentral:rRNA from 1 species
AUUGAACGCUGGCGGCAGGCCUAACACAUGCAAGUCGAACGAGUGGCGGACGGGUGAGUAAUGUCUGGGAACCUGCCCGAUGGAGGGGGAUAACUACUCGAAACGGUAGCUAAUACCGCAUACCAUCGGAUGUGCCCAGAUGGGAUUAGCUAGUAGGGGGGGUAACGGCUCACCUAGGCGACGAUCCCUAGCUGGUCUGAGAGGAUGACCAGCCACACUGGGACUGAGACACGGCCCAGACGCCUACGGGAGGCAGCAGUGGGGAAUAUUGGACAAUGGGGGAAAGCCUGAUGCAGCCAUCCCGCGUGUAUGAAGAAGGCCUUCGGGUUGUAAAGUACUUUCAGCAGGGAGGCGGUAUCUGCAGAAGAAGCACCGGCUAACUACGUGCCAGCAGCCGCGGUAAUAC